UACGUAGGGAGCAAGCGUUGUCCGGAAUCAUUGGGCGUAAAGCGCGCGUAGGUGGCCAUGUAAGUCCGCUGUGAAAGUCAAAGGCUCAACCUUUGAAAGCCGGUGGAUACUGCAUGGCUAGAGUACGGAAGAGGCGAGUGGAAUUCCUGGUGUAGCGGUGGAAUGCGCAGAUAUCAGGAGGAACACCAAUAGCGAAGGCAGCUCGCUGGGACGUUACUGACACUGAGGCGCGAAAGCGUGGGGAGUGAACAGG
rnacentral:rRNA from 1 species